rnacentral:rRNA from 1 species
CAUGCAAGUCGAGCGCACCUUCGGGUGAGCGGCGGACGGGUUAGUAACGCGUGGGAACGUACCCUUUUCUACGGAAUAGCCUUUGGAAACGAAGAGUAAUACCGUAUACGCCCUUCGGGGGAAAGAUUUAUCGGAGAAGGAUCGGCCCGCGUUAGAUUAGAUAGUUGGUGGGGUAACGGCCUACCAAGUCUACGAUCUAUAGCUGGUUUUAGAGGAUGAUCAGCAACACUGGGACUGAGACACGGCCCAGACUCCUACGGGAGGCAGCAGUGGGGAAUCUUAGACAAUGGGCGCAAGCCUGAUCUAGCCAUGCCGCGUGAGUGAUGAAGGCCUUAGGGUCGUAAAGCUCUUUCGCCUGUGAUGAUAAUGACAGUAGCAGGUAAAGAAACCCCGGCUAACUCCGUGCCAGCAGCCGCGGUAAUACGGAGGGGGUUAGCGUUGUUCGGAAUUACUGGGCGUAAAGCGCACGUAGGCGGAUUGGAAAGUUGGGGGUGAAAUCCCGGGGCUCAACCCCGGAACUGCCUCCAAAACUAUCAGUCUAGAGUUCGAGAGAGGUGAGUGGAAUUCCAAGUGUAGAGGUGAAAUUCGUAGAUAUUUGGAGGAACACCAGUGGCGAAGGCGGCUCACUGGCUCGAUACUGACG